UUGUAGAUUUAUUAGUUACUAGAAUACUGUCUUUCUAAGCAAGACAAAAUUUAGAUUUUGUCAAUAUCGGUUUAUCAGUGAUGUGAUAUCAGGGGUGUGACAAUUCAGCACUUUUCCAUGAUUGACAUUGGAGCAGGAGACAACUGCUGCUUGUCUUUAUCUACGUUUAUCUCUGGUUACGUGCAUUACGUCUUUUUCGAAAAGUUGAGAAUAUUGAAAAUCCAUAUUAAUCGAUACGAAAAAUAAAUAUAAGUCAAAAUAUAAAAACCGUGCUUGUGCCUCAGUGUUCAAGACGGAAAUUACGGUAUAAUUAUGGCUUAAAACCCCGCAAACAUGUAAAGGUGAUACCGCUGUUGUGGACUUGAAGCAUCGAAGAUGCUGGGGAUCACCAGAUCUCCAGAUCCAGUGAGAAAACCACACACAAAAAAUGUUCGCAUAAGAGACAAGUAAGGUUGUCGGAACCUAAUUAUUCUUCUAUUAAUGUAAAACUAUUAUCUGUAUUUUUUUAUUUUUGCCAGUUUGAUUUUGGUUGAUUUCUAUUUUGCGAUAAGCAUGUUUUCUUGGAUCGAAGGAAAGCAACAAAAGUAAAAUGAAAGUAAUGUAUCAAUGCAAAUUGCUAUACCUAACUGUAUUUCUACACAAUAGAAUUGUCUAUCAAUGUAAAACUAUUAACUGUAUUUUGUUGUUGUGACAAAUAGUAAAAUUUGUAAUUGCUUAUAGAAUUUUUGUUAAGAGCAUAUUGCAAAACACUUUAAUUGAUCGAGAACAAAAUGAAAGGGCAAAAGCCGCAGAGCGGGAACAUGUAAGGAAUAUCAAAUAAUAAGUGCAGUUUUUUAGAUAAAGGUUUGGUUUUUAUCUCACAGUCACACAUCAUUGCGACAACCGCAAAAUUGCUGAAAAUGUUAAUUUAGAUUUUUAGUCCGUAGUUAUAAGCUAUAUUUUAAUUUAUUUAUUAUCCAUUUAAUUCGUUUUAGAUUAGUUGUAAGUAACUCUUGUUGUUGAAAAAUUACAUCAGUAAAUACUUAAACAUGUGAUUAAACUAAUAAGAUGAAAUAAAGUAUCGUUUUUCUUUCGUUA